UACGGAGGGUGCAAGCGUUAAUCGGAAUUACUGGGCGUAAAGCGUGCGCAGGCGGUGAUGUAAGACAGGGGUGAAAUCCCCGGGCUUAACCUGGGAACUGCAUUUGUGACUGCAUCGCUGGAGUGCGGCAGAGGGGGAUGGAAUUCCGCGUGUAGCAGUGAAAUGCGUAGAUAUGCGGAGGAACACCGAUGGCGAAGGCAAUCCCCUGGGCCUGCACUGACGCUCAUGCACGAAAGCGUGGGGAGCAAACAGG
rnacentral:rRNA from 1 species